ACUUCCGGCCGCGCCGUGGGCCUCCCUGGCGCGCGCCCCGCUGCCCCUGCCCGGCCUAGGGCUCUCCGGUGCUGCGUCCCUGCGCCGUGCGCCGCCCUGGCCCCACCUCACAGGUCGACCCCACCUCACAGGUCGACCCCACGCCGGCCCCCCCACGCCAAGCCCGGGCCCGCGGCGCCAGGCAGCAGCGCCCCCUGGUGGACGCCGCUGCUCAGCGCCCCGUCGGCUCAACCCGACCCGGGGCCGCGCCGGGACCCGACGGUCCAGCCCCGGCCGGCGGGGGCGCUGCCCAGGCUGCGGGGAGGGCGAGGAAACCGACAGGGCCCGCGGGCACACCGGAGCCCACGUCAGGGUCGGCGGGAGAAGCCUCAGGGCAGGCCUCAGCGCAGGUGGGAGGUUGGAAAUGCGCCCGACCCCGGGGGUACGCCGGCUCCCGCGGAAGAUGCCAAAUCCCGGCCCAGGGCGCUGUGCGAAACUCCGACUCUUAACACUGCAGGGUCGCUGCAACCAGGGACAGGGCGAAAGCGCUGCGGUCCGGAGAGAAGAUGACUGAGUACACCCGACAGGACCGAGGCGGGGAGAGGAAGACAGGCGAAGACCAGGCCCGCCUGGGGAGGGCGGCAGUCAGUGGCAGCACCGACCUGCCGGCCGGAGGAUCAAGAAGUCCCUAUAGCAGUGGCUCACACCGUGCAUUUUCUUACUCCGAUGCCCGCUCUCGUGGCAGCCCAGUUCCCUGGAGACACUCUGCACCGCACACGCGUGCCCUGCAUGAGCUCAGCCGCACACUGUGGAGCAAAGCGAUCCUGACGUGUGGCUGCAGGGCCAGAACGCCGCUCCGGUUGUGGAACCAGAACCAAACCAAAUGGAAAAGCGCUCUACACCAGGAGCUGGAAGGCAACCGACUUUACCACACUGGUGGGCUGGGAUUGCUCCCACAGCAUCAGCUCAAAACUGGCUUUGGAAUUGGUUUAUAUACGUUUUGUAGGCAGGAAGUACAGGAGCUUGAAAGCGAGGCAAGUUUCUGUUGGGUAGCAUCAGUCUUGCUGGGCAGAAAGUCCUUGGAGCGAGUUAGCCAACAGGACAUGUUUGGGGGCGAGAAAGCACAGGCUGCGCAGCUGGGUGCAGUCAGACUGGGCGGAUCAGGUUAUCUCUGGUCUAGUCAGUCAAGGCUGAGGGAGUCUAGCGGAGGAGGUACGCGGGGGGCUGCAUGAUCUCAUUCUGUCCUAAUGUGGUGUCAGACUACUAGUUGAUUUUAAUUUUUAAAAAUUUCCAUCACACUAUGAGCAGGCCAGGGCGAACUGGUUCUCAGGCUGCUGGUGCGGAGGCCUGGCCGGGCACCUAGGUGGAUUCCGCCUGGGCGCCAGCCAGGACAGGGUAGGAGUGGUGUGACCUCAGUCACCUUCCACUGGAGUAACUCGCCACCAGCUUUUGGGUUCUGUUCAGUGUGGCUCUGUCCUAGUCAAAAGAGAAGCAGGGCCCUAAAACCGCUCCACCGUGUGUACAUGGACUCAGACCUCCUGCUUGGACUCCAGGGAAGGGGCCUCGCAGCCAGCCUUGGGCCCAGUCUCCUACCUCCUCCUUUCACCCUUGUUCUGCAAUCAGCCUGCACGACCCAGCCAGCAGACCUGGUUCUGCUGCGCUUCCUGUUUGGUCUUCUGUUUCGUGGGAACCCAGAGACGUUCCUGCUGGCAAAGCUGCAGCGGCCUGGCUCUCAGGGGCCCUUGUCAGGAGGAACAGAGACGUCCCGGAGCGGGGAGAUGGCAAGCUCGUUCCUGCACUCGCGGUCCUGGGGAAGGAAGGAGCGCGCUUUACCCAGACCUGGACCUUCCCGGGGUCGACCCUUCCGUGGGAGAGUCGGGGGUGAUGGGGGGAGACACACAGCGGGCCAAGGAGCCCCUGGCUCCGGCCUUCAACACUGAAGCAGCACAGGCAGCCCAGGCUCUCUGACCUCCUGCCCCUGUGUACGCUUUUGCCCACGACCACGCCGACCCGAGAGUGGGAGAGUGGGCUCCGGGUCAGGGAGCCCAAGCCUCUCGCUUUGGAUGGUGGGGUCCCGGGCCCCGAGCCCGCCUCUCGCGCGGCCUGUGUCACCUUCCGGCCUGAGUUGAGUCCAUGCUGGUUCGCCCGUGUCCACCUCUGGGUUUUCAGAUCCUCGGCCGCUGAGCUUCCUCCGAGCUCCGCGAUUCUCUUCCUUUUCAGAGGCCCGGCACUGCGUUGUCUGCCACGCCUGGCCUGCGGCCGCAGGGUUCGCCCAGGACAGCCGCGGGGGUUGCGCACUGCCGCAGCAGGGUCCCGGUCUCCCAGGGUUCCGAGGUCCCCGCUGUCCUUGGACCCUAUGAAGCCUUUUUGUUUUUUUGGCCAUAGGCCACGCCUGCAAACACGGGGCAGAUGCCACGGUCCCAACUCGGUCCGUGUCACUGGACCUCAGGUCCAGCCUUAGGAAGGUGCGGCGGGGCGUCCUGGAGCUCCGAGACUGCGAGGGGCGAAAAGGACGCACACACUCGCGCCCACACCCGCGCCCGCUUCCGCACCCGUUUGGCCGGGACGCCGUGGCGCUGUCCAGGGCGGGCAGCCGGCCGGGCGGGCGGGGAGGCUCGGAGAGGGCGGGGUCCCCACGUCUCAGCCACGCGCCCCCAGCGAUGCGGACGCGGCGCCGCGUGCAGACGGCUCGCCUCCGGCGCUCACGGCGCAGCUGCGGUCGGGGUGCGCUUCUGCGGCGGGGUUCCUUAGGUGAAAAUCGGUUCGGAGGGAAAGCCCGCAGGCAGCAGGGCUCGCGCGUGCGCCCCGGCCGCGCCUCCGAAGUUGGGCGAGGCGCUCGGAGGCGGGCGCAGCCGAGUCGAUCUGGUCGCGUUUCCGCAGACGCUGGAGCCUUCGCCACGAAGACCCCAGGCCCCAUGCGCGGGCUCCGGGGACAGGGACGGCGCGGGCCGCGUGGGGCGGGAGAGCUGCGGAGGCGCAGGCCCGGGCCUGGUCGCUGCGGUUGUGCCCCCGGACGGGCACAGGCGGGGCCUCCCGGGAGGGGCUGGGGUGUGACCUUCCUUUCCUACUUGUGUGCUAGUUCUUCCUCGAUGUCCUGCGGCUCCGACGGUGAGGACGUUAUUCUGCGCAGGGCUGUCCGGGUCAGGACGCGAGGCCGAGUCACACCCCUCAGAGGGCAGUGACCCGGCCGAGGGCGCCUGGUCCACCCUGCCCGGGCCUCAGGGGAGAAGAGCGCUGAGCACCGAGGUGAGGCCUGGGAGACCCGCCCAGGUCGUGGGGGUCAGCCCAGAGCUGCGAGAAUCGGUUCCGCGCUCCCAGCUGCCCAGGCUGCCGUGUCGCUGCCACGCGUGAGCCUCUGGUUCUGACCUUCGUCCCGGCGACGGAUUUAAUGUUGCCCUGCUUUCUUCUUGAUGUUUCUCUCUCUGAUAUUUUCUCCUUUUUAAUGAAGGAGCCUCCAUUUGAAGUAACAGUUUUACUAUCUAAAAAGCAAAAAAUUGCUUUAUUUUCUGUAUUUUUCCCUUCUUGUUUUUACAUUUAAAGUUCUCAUCCUGAAUUCUCCUGAGCUACAUCUCCAGCCCUUUAUUUCUUCUUUAUUUUGAGACAGGGUCUUGCUCAGUCACUAAAUUGCCCUGGCUGGCCUAGAAUUUGGGAUCCUCCUGCCUCAGCCUGUCAGUGUUGGGAUUACAGAUGUGUACCACCCUAUCUGGCUUUUCCUUCCAACUCUUUAAAGUUUAAUGUACUAGGUUUUUUUUUGUUUUGUUUUUUGUUUUUUUUUUAAGGCAGGGUCUCGCUCUGCAGUUCAGGCUGGCCUUAAGCUCACUUUAUAGCCUAGGCUGGUCUCGAACUUGCAGUGAUCCUCCUGCCUCAGCCUCCCGAGUGCUGGGAUUACAGGUGUGCGCCACCACACCCGGCUGUACUAGGUUUUUAAAAAUAGGUUCUUGAAAUAAAAGCUAGAACAAUACGAAUUUUUCUGUUUUUUAAUGUAUACAUUUGGAACUAAAAAUUAAUUAUUAAGUACUAUCUUAGUUUCAUGCCACAGUUGUGAUGUCUUAUUUUCAUUGCCAUAUAAAUUAAAAACAUUUUAUAGUUGCA
rnacentral:lncRNA from 1 species